UUCUGCCCAACAGCAGGUACAGAACCUCAUGAAGAAGUGUGAGCCCUACUCCAAGAUGGUAAAGGAGUUUCAAAAACUUGAUCUCUCUUUUUCUGAAGAACCAGGAAAGGAUAAACUACCACUGGUGAUUAUAGACGGGAGUAAUGUGGCUAUGAGCCAUGGCCUGGACAUGUUCUACUCCUGCUUUGGUAUCUACCGGGCUGUUCAACACUAAAGGAAUAAAGGCUAUCGUAACAUCAUUGCUUGUGUGCCAAACUAUAGACGACAUUCUCCAAGCACUAUCCAUGGCCAUGAAUAUCUAGAAAAGCUGUCCGAGAGAGGCCUUGUAUCAUGGGCUCCAAGCAAAUGUUAUGAUGAUAGGCCUAUGCUUGAAGAAGCCAGGGCUAAAACUGGGUGGAUUGUGACAAAUGACAGAUUUGUCGAUUUUGGACCAGAGUGGAAGGAGACUA